GAUGAACGCUGGCGGCGUGCUUAACACAUGCAAGUCGAGCGGACUUUACAUGAAGCCUAGCGAUUGUAAAGUUAGUGGCGGACGGGUGAGUAACGCGUGAAUAACCUGCCCUGUACCGGGGGACAACAGUUGGAAACGGCUGCUAAUACAGCAUAAGCGCACGGUUCCGCAUGGAACAGUGUGAAACACUCCGGUGGUACAGGAUGGAUUCGCGUCUGAUUAGCCAGUUGGUGGGGUAACGGCCGACCAACGCAACGAUCAGUAGCAGGCCUGAGAGGGGGAACGGCCACAUGGGAACUUAGACACGGCCCAAACUCCUACGGGAGGCAGCAGUGGGGAAUAUUGCACAAUGGGGGAAACCCUGAUGCAGCGACGCCGCGUGAGUGAAGAAGUUAUUCGUAACGUAAAGCUCUAUCAGCAGGGAAGAAAAUGACGGUACCUGACUAAGAAGCCCCGGCUAACUACGUGCCAGCCGCCGCAGUAA
rnacentral:rRNA from 1 species